AUAAACUUUGCAUGGAAAAAAGUUGCAAGUACACAAAUUAUUUCCAUAGUUAGAAAUGACAACAUGAGCUAUUUGUUUCUGGAUUUUAUUAAAUACACACUUUUUUGCUAAAUAAGUGGGGAUGCGUUGCAAUGCUACAAGUAUGUCCACUGACAUAAUUACUGAAGAACAUCUGCAACCAUGAUAUGAUGUGGGAUGACACAGUGCAGUCUGAAUGCAGCAAGCUCAUUGUGGUUGGGCACUGGAUAUUUCAAGCAUGCUCAUCCAAAUUAUUUGUUUUUUGUGUGUUUAUUUGUCAUCUUUCCCAAGAUGAUGAACAACCACUGAAGGAUAAGAGCGUGCCGUACUGAUAAUAAAUCUGUUCCCUCUUUGUCAAGCUGUACGUGCACUCGUUGCCUGAUGCGAUGCCGGCCCCUGAUCCUGACACUCUUCUUCUACUGCUGUGGCUCCUCACACCCUCCAGACCUCCCUCCUUCACCCUGAUGCUCUACUUCUGUAUUUCUGACUCACUUUCUGCUGCUUUGGAUGGUCCCAUAUGGACAUCUGAAAGAUUUCCAUUUCCCAGAAACAGUUUAUAUCCUAGUCUCACUCUUGCUUCAGUUGUUACAGUGCUUUUUUUUUUCUUUUCCUUUUUUUACUUUAUAGACUCUACAGUUUCAUAAAUAAAUAAAUAAAUAUAUAAAUAUAUAAAAUGGUUCCAGUAGAUUUGGAGGUUCAGCCAUUACCCAAAGAGGAACUGACUACCCAGUGCAUAGUCAUGUUUAAUGGUUUAAGGGAAGAGGCAGUUAAAACAUAGCUGCCUGCUGUGAGAAAUGGGAAGUAACAUUUUAGCCCACACAAGUUUUGAGUUUUGCCUACUAUACGCCUCUGUAUAACGGAGGGCACCACUCUGUGGGUGUCUGUAGAGACCGUUUUAUGGGUUAUUUUUUGUCAGACAUUGAGGGCCACCCGGAAAAAAAUGGUCAAACCACUGCCAAAAUUCCGACCUCUGGAAUUCAACCUGCACGCGAAAAACAAGAGCCGGCAACCAGCAGGAUGGAGCUCAGUGUGUAAGAGUGGGGGAAGACUGGAGACAUUUUGGCAGCAGCAAGCAGACUGGCCAUGAUCUACCAGAGAGGAGAGACUGCGUCAUGGAAAUCCAACGCCACCACAUCAGACCGAGCUAAACAAACAAAAAGUGAGCGUUCAUCUCACUGCCUCAAGAAGCUUCAAGAAGCAUUAAUUGCUGCAGGAUGGAUGUCCUUAACGUAGAUCCACUUUGUUGAUUUAUUUUACGGUCCUUGUUAGAUAUAAGCGGGUGACGUAAGGAGAGAGAGUAAGAGACAGUUCUGUAACUUGUAGUCAUACAUUUAAUUCCCUGGUUUAACACCAGACAGCUGUCGAUUUCAAAGAGUACUUACCCCAAUAAAGAGAUUCCAUUUUCAUUCACAGAGCAGAGGGGCUAUAAAAGAGACAACGUGGCCUGGAUGUUGAGGUUUUGUCUUAUUUGUUUCUUUUAACAUGCAAUUUAAGCAGGCCCUUCAUGUGGAUUCCCCCCCUCUGCUUGUUCUGGGCCCUUAAAUGCAGCCUGAGCCCAAACCACAAUCAUAUAUUUCAUGAGAAACAAAACUUCCAGAGUAGAUCGUCUCUGUUUCUCUCACACACACACUAAGAAUGGAAAGCAACUAUGUUAAGAAAGGAAUGUGGCACAAAGUCGAGUCUGUGAAACUUUUUGAUUAUGCACAUAAACUGGUAAGAUGUAAACCAUAAAUUGAUGCCAAGUGAAUCAAGUGGAAUCUAAAAAUUAAUAAAUGAAAGAUAUCCGCCCACCAAAAAAAUGACCACAAGUCAGUAACAAUAAAAUCCUCAUGCUAGCACAAACAUUCUGUUUUUCAUUGUUUUGUUUUUAAACAAGCCAUGUCACUUCACAAAUCAGACCAGAGAGGGAAAAUGAAAUAAAUAAAAAUAAAAAAAAAUGUAUUAAAGUUUGUCAAAACUCUUUCCUUUGGCUGGCUUCAGAUAAAUAAUUAACAUACUGUAAAUGCAUGUGAUUGUACUACAGACGCCAAGGUGGUUCAGGUUUAGUAAACUGAAUCGGUUGAUUGGUUCUCCUACAUUUUGAGGACUUGGUUCGAUCCACUGAAAUAUUUUGCUGUGUCUACAUCCAGACUGCGGUGUGUCAGUUUUAGGGACAAAAAAGAAUAUAAUUUACAGACCCGCCAUGAUUUAGUGCAGACCACCAAUGUGGUUUCUGAAGGAUAUCUAGUGCUAGCAUUAGUCAUAAUUCCUUAGAAUGCUAACAGUAACCCAGCAACUAAAGUGGCAUUACUGAGGGCAUGUCCAACUUAUGAAAUGUAUUUUAUUUGUGGGUUAUUGGAUCAGAAUCCAUUCUAAUGCAUCCCUGUCUAUAGCUCCAUGUGCAAAUAUAUCUUCCUGUCUUCUCUUCACCACACUACAUGCUAACGACUGAGUGUUCAAAGUGCACUGAGUGCCGUGAUACACUGCACUGUUUGUCUUUCCUAAAUAAACCCCCAUCCAGGCUUUUGCACCUACUGCUUGCUCAUCAAUCAGCCUUAAACAGCUCGAGAGCUGGACUCCACACCAGCCUGCUGGAGAAAUGGGACCCUCUAAGAGCCAUUUGUCAGACGAUGCUGUCCUCACAUGGGCCAUCAGGAGGCCUGCUGACAGCCUUCAGCCAAGUGUGUGAACAGCAGCCGUGAACCUUCUGGAAAAAGAAAGGAGUAUAGUGUCCAUGCUGAUGGAGUGCGAGAUGGCGAUUGCGUUUGGAGCUUGUCUGAAGGAGUCUCAGUUUGAUAUCUAGAUAACAGGAGGAGAAGAGCAAAGAAUUGGAAGUGUGGAGCAACCUUCAAGAUUCUGAAGACUCCGAUGAUCCAUGAGCUGUGGGCAGAGCAUCUGAGGCUGAGUCUAACUUCUUGCCAACUUUGCAUCACACUAAAUGCUUCCCCCUCUUCACAUGCUUUUACACCCUGAAAGCUCAUUAAUCAAAUCAGUCCAAAGCAAAGAGAGUGGACACAGGGCUGAGAGUGGCAUUGUGAUGGUCACGAGGGUUUGUGCUUCACUGGUCAUAAAGCCCACACAGAAAACACACACACCUCAAAUUAUGUUACAUUCAUGGACAUUAUGCUGGCUGUACCUACCUUUGGAUGCACAUGCUAAAACAUGCAUGAAUGCAUAUGAUAGUCCAGUAAUUGCAAAUGUAAUAUGGUAUAUUUACAAAAAGACCAAGAUCUUGCACAAAAUUAGCCUGUUCUCUUCAACACAUGAUAUGUUUGUGUAAUCCCACAUAAACUCUCACAAGUCUUCAAAAACACACUUGACCAGUUUUGAAAAAGCCGGAGAUGACCUCAUGCUUUUUCCUUGGCCCAGGCAAUGUGUUCAGCAUCACUGGUUAUUUACUGUGAUGCUUUUCCUCAUAAUCAAAACAUGCACAUCAGCAAAGUCGCUCGAACAGAAGAGCAGCAAAGCAUUGAGUGUGUCUAAAAAGUCUGAGCAGGACACACUCCAGCUGGCAGCCAGUGUUUAGGAACCACAGAGGAAGAGCAGGUCUGGCAAACUUUAUACACUAAAAUGCGCCACUACACUCCUUUAGCAAACUCGGAUAAUCUCCGUGCUUGUCCGGCUUCACAAGGGCUGUGAUUUUUCAAGCUUUUGGUCUUAAAUAGAUUCAACAAUUCAGAUUAAUCCAGUAAAUCCAAUGCAAUCCAGAAACAGGAACCCCAAACACUGUACGCUUUUGUUUAAUACACCUGACUCAGCUCUAGAGAAUUAAAACCACGAGAUGGAGAAAAACCACAUGAGAUCUUCACAAAAGACAAAACCAAUGACUGGUUUAAUAAGUCAAGACAGUUACAUUUAGACAUUAAAAAGAAAGCUCAUCUUGCAGAUUGUGUAGACAAAAAAAAAAUCAUGCUUUUGCCAAACAGUUCCCUGAUGUUAAUGAAGUGUUCUCGGUGUACUACAGUCCACAUCUGCCCAAAUAUCAAAUCUCAACUAUGCCUUGGUUUUUGUUUAUCCGAUGUGUCACAUUAUCCAUCAUUUGUGACGAAAGCCAGGCUAAUCCAUUCUUUAUGCAUCAACAAACCCUACCACAUAUCCAAAGAGCUCAGCCAUCCAUCAACCUUUCAAUCCCUCUCUAUUUUUGGAGCCAUAUAUCAAAAAAUAAGAAUUACAAUCAAUCAUCUUCGAGAUGGAUCACAAAAUCCAAUGCUUCCCUUGACACAGUUUGUCUGAAAACAGUCAAUCCUUUUUUUUUCGUCGUUAAAGUAUUUUUGAGCAGGGAAAAAAAUAUCAUGCAUUUGGCAGUCAUACCCUGCAACAUGUCUUAUAAGUCGGGUUAGAUUUACUGCAUGGCCUGUCCAUAACUGAAGGGAUAGAAUGUGAGAGAGAGAGAGGAGGGAUGGACUAAGCGAGUCACUCGGGCAGUGUGUGUGUGUGUGCCGAGAGCUUAUGUUUCACAGCCCAUUUAACCACGGUGCCAUUUUUCAAAACCAAAUUCCCUCACACACUGCAACAAGGGUGUGGACUUACUGCAAAUUACACACAUACAGUAUAAGGAUCAGAGACAUAACAAAAUGUAAAUAUUACGUCCUGUCUAGGCAUAAAGGUCACAUAAGUGUCCCCCAACCUCCUCAUCUCAAAUGGCCAGACCAAACAUGAGGCAUCUGAGCAAUAAAAUAAUAAACAACCAUUAUUUAAGCACAUGCUUCAGAGUUGAUCACAUCACAAAAUAAACAACACGAGCCCCCAAACACUGGCUAAUGUUUUAAGAAAAGGAGACACAGAAAAAUAUAUAACUCCCUAACUGCCAGGACUUGUUAUAUAUAAAAAAAAAUAUAUAUAUAUAUGGCUUCUGUAUUAGUCUCUAGAUGUUUUACAGAUGUAUGGUAUGUCCGUUAAAUAUAAAAAAGAUGGUCUUUGACUUUAUAUUCACCUGAGUGUUUAACAAAACAGAACUACAUACUACACAAAGCAUCACUUUAAGAA